AUUGAACGCUGGCGGCAGGCCUAACACAUGCAAGUCGAACGAGUCGCGGACGGGUGAGUUAUGUCUGGGAAACUGCCUGAUGGAGGGGGAUAACUACUGGAACCGGUAGCUAAUACCGCAUACCAUCAGAUGUGCCCAGCUGGGAUUAGCUAGUUGGUGGGGUAACGGCGCACCAAGGCGACGAUCCCUAGCUGGUCUGCGAGGAUGACCAGCAAAACGGGAACGGAGACACGGUCCAGACUCCUACGGGAGGCAGCAGUGGGGAAUAGUGCACAAUGGGCGAAAGCCUGAUGCAGCAAUGCCGCGUGUAUGAAGAAGGCCUUCGGGUUGUAAAGUACUUUCAGCGGGGAGGCGUUACCCGCAGAAGAAGCACCGGCUAACUCCGUGCCAGCAGCCGCGGUAAUUC
rnacentral:rRNA from 1 species